AUGAAAAUCAUCGGAUGGAAUUGCCGUGGCCUUCAUAAGGCUGCGACAGUUCGUGCGUUACUGGACAUCCAAAAGCGGAGGGUAGCGGAUGUUAUUUUCUUAUCAGAAACACAUCUUGAAGAAUGGGCUGCAGAAUCUUUGAAACGAAGGCUCAAGAUGGAUCAUAAGGAGGUUGUGGAGAGCGAUGGAAGAAGUGGUGGCCUUCUUUUGUUAUGGAAGAAAGAA
rnacentral:rRNA from 1 species